rnacentral:miRNA from 1 species
AAGUGCAACCAGAUUGGAUGA